GCAGGGUGGCCACCCAGUAAUCAGCACAAGUUAGAAUGUGGGCAACUCGGCAGUCGUUGCGCAGGCACUUUGGUGACUCUAGAUAACCUCAGGCCGAUCGCAUGUCCACGUGACGGCGACGACGCAUUCAGAUGUCUGCCCUAUCAACUUUCGAUGUUACUUUCUGCGCCUACCAUGGUGACCAUGGGUAAUUGGGAAUCAGGGUUCGAUUCCGGAGAGGGAGCCUGAGAAACGGCUACCACAUCCAAGAAAGGCAGCAGGCGCGCAAAUUACCCACUCCCAAUGCGGGGAGGUAGUGAC
rnacentral:rRNA from 1 species